GUUGAGGGGAAUGUUGUUUGGAUCGAGGAUAUCAUCAUAUGCAUAAUGCAUACAUAUAAUAUCAUAUAUAGAUUAUGAUACGAUGCUAGCAAGUGUGCAUAUAUGUAAUUCUCGGACCAGGCUUCAUCCCCCUCAAC
rfam:Brassica napus, WGS project CCCW01000000 data, contig: 20692